CGCACGAGAAAGUGGAGCAAUCCAUGAGUAAAGUGGCGCACGGGUGAGUAACACGUGAAUAAUCUACCUCCGAGUGGGGAAUAACCUAGAGAAAUCUGGGCUAAUACCGCAUAACACUUACGAGUCAAAGCAGCAAUGCGCUUGGAGAGGAGUUCGCGGCAGAUUAGCUAGUUGGUGAGGUAAUGGCUCACCAAGGCGAUGAUCUGUAUCCGGCCUGAGAGGGCGCACGGACACACUGGAACUGAAACACGGUCCAGACUCCUACGGGAGGCAGCAGUGGGGAAUUUUGCGCAAUGGGGGAAACCCUGACGCAGCAACGCCGCGUGGAGGAUGAAAUCCCUUGGGAUGUAAACUCCUUUCGAUCGGGAAGAUAAUGACGGUACCGAGAGAAGAAGCCCCGGCUAACUUCGUGCCAGCAGCCGCGGUAAUACGAGGGGGGCGAGCGUUGUUCGGAAUUAUUGGGCGUAAAGGGUGCGUAGGCGGUUUGACAAGUCUGAUGUGAAAUCUAUGGGCUCAACCCAUAGUCUGCAUUAGAAACUGUCGGGCUUGAGUGCGGGAGAGGUGAGUGGAAUUUCCGGUGUAGCGGUGAAAUGCGUAGAUAUCGGAAGGAACAUCUGUGGCGAAAGCGACUCACUGGACCGUAACUGACGCUGAUGCACGAAAGCUAGGGGAGCAAACAGGAUUAGAUACCCUGGUAGUCCUAGCCCUAAACGAUGAUUGCUUGAUGUGGGGGGUACCCAAUCCUCCCGUGUCG
rnacentral:rRNA from 1 species